UUAAGCAUAUCAAUAAGCGGAGGAAAAGAAACUAACAAGGAUUCCCCUAGUAACUGCGAGUGAAGCGGGAAAAGCUCAAAUUUGAAAUCUGGCAGGUCUUGAACUUGUCCGAGUUGUAAUCUAGAGAAGUGUUACCUGUGCUGGACCGUGUACAAGUCUCCUGGAAUGGAGCGUCACAGAGGGUGAGAAUCCCGUCUUUGACACGGACUGCCUGCACGUUAUGGUGCGCUCUCAAAGAGUCGAGUUGUUUGGGAAUGCAGCUCAAAAUGGGUGGUAAAUGCCAUCUAAAGCUAAAUAUUGGCGAGAGACCGAUAGCGAACAAGUACCGUGAGGGAAAGAUGAAAAGUACUUUGGAAAGAGAGUUAAACAGUACGUGAAAUUGCUGAAAGGGAAACGCUUGAAGUCAGUCGCGUUGGCUGGAAAUCAACCUUGCUUUUGCUUGGUGUACUUUCUGGUUGACGGGUCAGCAUCAAUUUUGACCGCUGGAUAAAGUCUUUGGGAAUGUGGCAUCUUAGGAUGUGUUAUAGCCCAUUGUCGCAUACAACGGUUGGGAUUGAGGAACUCAGCAUGCCCGCAAGGGACAGGUUUUUGACCAUGUUUUCGUGCUUAGGAUGCUGGCAUAAUGGCUUUAAUCGACCCGUCUUGAAACACGGACCAAGGAGUCUAACAUGCCUGCGAGUGU
rnacentral:rRNA from 1 species